AGGGGACCAAAGAGAUAUAUA
rnacentral:miRNA from 1 species